rnacentral:ncRNA from 1 species
AAAAUGGGGGGGUUUUUUUUAAAUGGUAAUUUUUGUUUAAACAUUUGGUUUGGGAGGGGGUUACCCACCCCUUAACUGUUUUGGGUUUUAAUUUGGAAGGCCCCUUUUGUAGGAGCCCUGCCCGGGGUUUUUAUUCGGGUCCCACGGGUACCAGGAGCCCACGGAAACUGUUCCGUCUUGGUUAGUUGGUGCGGCCAUCGAGGAGUAUCGUGGUGGUUGUGGUUUAACACCCAAAUGCGGGUAGAGCAUCGCUCGACGUGGAGUUGCGUCAUACAACCGGGUUCCGUGACCCAGAUUACGGAAGAGGCUUAGAUAGUCCUCGUGCCAAACCAAGGUAGAAGUCACAACCAAACAGUCGUGUCUUUAAUUGGUACCUGCGGAAUUGUUCCAAGGGGGCGGUGAUUGACGCUUGAAUUAAUCCUAUACUAGGAACCGUGAGAUUAAGCCAUCGCGGCAGGUGCUCACGUUAAGCCCACUGACUUUCAUGUCCCUAUCUACUAUCUAGCGAAACCACAGCCAAGGGAACGGGCUUGGAAUAAUUAGCGGGGAAAGAAGACCCUUUUGAGCUUGACUCUAAUCUGGCAGUGUAAGGAGACAUAAGAGGUGUAGAAUAAGUGGGAGAUAUUAGACUUCGGUUUGGUAUCGACAAUGAAAUACCACUACUCUUAUUGUUUCCUUACUUACUUGAUUAAAUGGAACGUGUAUCAUUUCCUAGCCAUUAUACGGAUAUAAUUAUUAUGUCUUAUGGUAUUGGGUUUUGAUGCAAGCUUCUUGAUCAAAGUAUCACGAGUUUGUUAUAUAAUCGCAAACAAAUUCUUUAAUGAGAGAAUGCAUUUAUGUAUUAUUGAUUUAAAAAUUUGGUAUAACUCCAAUUACUCAGGUAUGAUCCAAUUCAAGGACAUUGCCAGGUAGGGAGUUUGACUGGGGCGGUACAUCUCUCAAAUAAUAACGGAGGUGUCCCAAGGCCAGCUCAGUGCGGACAGAAACCACACAUAGAGCAAAAGGGCAAAUGCUGACUUGAUCUCGGUGUUCAGUACACACAGGGACAGCAAAAGCUCGGCCUAUCGAUCCUUUU